UGCAAUUCUAGUUCAUUCAUUUAAAAUGAGAGACUGUGGACGGCUCAGUAUAUCAGUUAUAAUCUGCUCGAUUGUAAAGGUUAGUGGAUAACCGUGGGAAAUCUAGAGCUAAUACAUGUAGGGUCUGGAGUGGCUUGCUACUUCAGUUGCAUUUAUUAGACUAAUCCAACCGUGCGAGCAAUCGUGCGUGGUGAAUCUAGAUAACUGUGCAGAUCGUAUGGCCUUGAGCUGACGACAUUUCGAUUGAAUUUCUGCCCUAUCAACUUUGUUGGCAGUGUAGUGGACUGCCAAGGUUUUUACGGGUAACGGGGGAUCAGGGUUCGAUUCCGGAGAGGGAGCCUGAGAAACGGCUACCACAUCCAAGGAAGGCAGCAGGCGCGCAAAUUACCCAAUCCAGACAAUGGGAGGUGGUGACGAAAAGUACCGGAUGGCGACAUUGUUGCCAGUCUGGAAUGAAAACAAUUUAAGCAAUUGAAUUGAGUAACGACUGGAGGGCAAGUCUGGUGCCAGCAGCCGCGGUAAUUCCAGCUCCAGUAGCGUAUCUCAAAGUUGCUGCGCUUAAAACGCUCGUAGUUGGAUCACUCACUAGAUGAUGGUGUGCUCAAUCUGUGUUGAACAUGCAACAUACCUUUGGAAACACUGGUCACUGUUGUGUGGUUAUCAGUGAGGGUAAUUUAGCCAUCGUCUAGUAAUUGCAUGUGAGGAUGAUGGUUGACCUUGAGUGUGUUGACGAUUGUGUCUCACGGGGUGUGCCUUGAGUAAAUCAGAGUGCUUAAAGCAGGCGUGACGCUUGAAUGUUGAUAGCAUGGAACGAACAAUCGUGUAUGGUGUAUGCUGAUCACGGUACGUUGAGCUUGCUCUCGUGCUGCAGUGUACGACACCGACCACCAAUUACGGAUGUUGGUUCCGUAUUGGGGUACUGAUUAAGAGGAGCGGUUGGGGGCAUUGGUAUUUGGCAGCGAGAGGUGAAAUUCUUGGACCUGCCAAGGACUAACAAAUGCGAAGGCAUCUGUCCAGACCGUAUCCAUUAAUCAAGAACGAUAGAGAGAGGUUCGAAGACGAUCAGAUACCGUCCUAGUUCUCUCUGUAAACUAUGCCGACCCGGGAUCAGUUUGGAGCUAUUUUGUCCACGCUCGGAGUUGGUCCCCCUGGGAAACCUAAAGUUUUUCGGUUGCGGGGGGAGUAUGGUCGCAAGGCUGAAACUUAAAGGAAUUGACGGAAGGGCACCACCAGGGGUGGAGCCUGCGGCUUAAUUUGACUCAACACGGGAAAACUUACCUGGUCCGGACAUCAGGAGGAUAGACAGACUAAUGCUCUUUCUUGAUUUGGUGAUUGGUGGUGCAUGGCCGUUCUUAGUUCGUGGAGUGAUCUGUCAGGCCAAUUCCGGUAACGAACGAGACCACAGUCUCCAUUUGACGAGCUAAAGCAAGCGAUGGUGGUGAUCGAGAGUGGCAACANUCUUGUUUGCCAUUGUUUCUGUAGGCAAUUGUGGGUUGUAGUUGCCAUAGUUAGUGGCAACAUUAGUUGUGGUGAUUGCAAUUUGUGAUAUCCCUUUAGCCUUGCAGUGCAUUCCCGCAAGGGCAAUGUGUUGUAUCAUGGAGAGACAACGGAAGAUAUAUCAAAAUCCGAGGAAGUGUGGCUAUAACAGGUCUGUGAUGCCCUUAGAUGUUCAGGGCUGCACGCGCGCUACAAUGGCAGCGACAGAUAGUGUCUGGAUCGAAAGAUUCGGGUAAUCUUGUAAUCGCUGCCGUGAUGGGGAUUGACGAUUGUAAAUUCGUCAUGAAAGAGGAAUCCCUAGUACGUGUGAUUCAUGAAAUCGCGCGGAUUUAGUCCCUGCCCUUUGUACACACCGCCCGUCGCUACUACCGAGCGAAUGGUGUCAUAAUACCUUGGGAGCGGACGUCACAACGGGCUCACGCUCGAUGUGAUGCUGCAAUCAGCGUAGAAUGGCGCAAUUUCGAGGAA
rnacentral:rRNA from 1 species